UACGAAGGGGGCUAGCGUUGUUCGGAAUUACUGGGCGUAAAGCGCGCGCAGGCGGUCUUCCAAGUCAGUGGUGAAAGCCCGGAGCUCAACUCCGGAACUGCCAUUGAAACUGUAAGACUUGAGGACGAGAGAGGUGAGUGGAAUUCCCAGUGUAGAGGUGAAAUUCGUAGAUAUCGGGAGGAACACCAGUGGCGAAGGCGGCUACCUGGCACAUAACUGACGCUGAUACGCGAAAGCGUGGGGAGCGAACCGG
rnacentral:rRNA from 1 species